AGAAAACCUUUAAGAGAUGAUUUUGCUUUUCACUUUGUUCCAUUUGAGAGGCAGAACAUAAAAUCAGAAGCUUCAGAGGAGUUUAAAAAAUAGCUGUGAGAUUUUUUUCUGUGAUAAUAUGAGUAUAAGCCGGUCCACCACUGGUGACCUGUGUUUUUGACAGAUGAGAGCAGCUUCACCCUCAGCACUGUCCGGUAUGCAUACAAGCACGUGGGGGUCACACAAACUGCUGAGUACCAUUUUGAGUUGCUGCAGUGACAGUUUGCUAAAAUGGACUAGGUCUGAAGCAAAUGGUUUUUUAAUUGGAUUUUCAAUCUGUCUUUGAAUUCGGCCUUUGUAGGUCGAUAAUCGUCAUCUUCAUUACACAAUGUGGCAUCCUUUCAUUCCUAACACGUUACCCAGUCCACAUAUUUCCCAUUGAGAUCUGAUGAAUUUUCAGUUUUCCUUUAAUGUUGUUAGCUACAGAUUAGAAAUGACUGUGCACCCCAUUUACCAAAAUUACUAAAGUAAUCUUAACUAGUGUUCAAAUUUUUAAAUAUUAGAGGCUGGGUGUCUUUAUGAUUGGAUCACAAUGUUCAAAAAAAGAAGCUAAAUAUGAGGUGAAACAGCUACACUGUGACAUUUCGUGAGAUUCUGUAAUGACAGAAAAGUUAUAGAAAAAAAUUAUAUUGAUUCAAGAUUAGCAUAGUAAGUGGAUGGUAUUGUUUUAGUAAUACUAACAUAUCCAGAAAACCUCUAAAGAUCGUCCACAUGUAUGAACGCAACGAAAAUCUCCAGCAUAGCAUCAAAGACCAUUUCACUGCGUCUUGUUUUGUCCUUCAUGUUGAGGCUUUCUUUGAAGGCGGAAGGUUUGAAGGCUGCGCGGUCAAGCCUUUCAGCAUAACCUGUAAAUUACUAUGAAAAAAUAUUAGUUGCCUGCUUUGGAUUAUUGUGUAUAGCAAAAGGUAAAGGAUAUUUUAAACCUUUUACAGCUGAUUUCCACAAUGUUUGAACUGUAACAGCAAAAAUAUUUAAACUCAGCCGUGAACAGAGAAACAAAGACGUGUUCAGACUGAAAUAGAGCAUUUAAAAUGAAUAAGAAUCACUUAAUCUCAGCAUCUGAAGUGAGGAUGAGGACUGUGAAGAUCAGCGAAUAAAGGAUGGUCCUGCACGAGUAUGUUAGGAGGUGGUGGGUAGGUGUACUGUUGUUGUUUGGGUUUUGUUUUCCUUUUGGUUAUAGGUAGGCGAGGCGGGGCUUGAUGGCAUUCCAACACACCUGCGACGCAUCGGACGUCAUCAGUGAGCGCUUUUAGGGAGCAGAGUCACGGACGUCUGGUGUCGGAGUAUUAUCGCUGUCACAAGUGCCUGUUCCAUCGCCUGCCCGCCUACCUAGGAUUUUGUGUUGGCUAUUCUGGAUCCGCGACGGAGUGCUACGUACCAUCAGGCGGCGAUCACCGCAGCGGCUGUGGUUUGGGGUGGUCAAGUAGCUCCGGUGCGUCUGCUACCUACCUGUAUGCUUCGGCUCCAUCUCAUCGCCUCGGUGUUUUCCUGCUGGCACAUUUUUAUUUAUCACUGUAUAUAGCCCUUUCCCUUGUAAAUAUUCCCCCUUACUCGUGUAUAUAAAAACUUGCAUCACAAACUA
ensembl:lncRNA